rnacentral:rRNA from 1 species
AGUGAACGCUGGCGGUAGGCCUAACACAUGCAAGUCGAACGGCAGCACAGUAAGAGCUUGCUCUUACGGGUGGCGAGUGGCGGACGGGUGAGGAAUACAUCGGAAUCUACUUUUUCCUUGGGGAUAACGUAGGGAAACUUACGCUAAUACCGCAUACGACCUACGGGUGAAAGCAGGGGAUCUUCGGACCUUGCGCGAUUGAAUGAGCCGAUGUCGGAUUAGCUAGUUGGCGGGGUAAAGGCCCACCAAGGCGACGAUCCGUAGCUGGUCUGAGAGGAUGAUCAGCCACACUGGAACUGAGACACGGUCCAGACUCCUACGGGAGGCAGCAGUGGGGAAUAUUGGACAAUGGGCGCAAGCCUGAUCCAGCCAUACCGCGUGGGUGAAGAAGGCCUUCGGGUUGUAAAGCCCUUUUGUUGGGAAAGAAAAGCAGCAGGUUAAUACCCCGCUGUUCUGACGGUACCCAAAGAAUAAGCACCGGCUAACUUCGUG